AUAAGAUUGUGAGUUGUCUAUACACGUUACAUGUACUUGUCAGUGCUGUGUUGUAAUGUGGAAAGUACCUUGUCUAAUUUAGUAACGUAGUGUCAUGUACGUGUAGUCCAUACUGUGUAUGUCCAUAUUUGGUGGUGUUUACGACUUAUAUGUAAAUUAGGGUAUGAAAGAGUAAGAAAUCGUGCAAGAGUGAGAGCGAGAAUAGUAAAACCGAUGAGUUAGGGUAGAACGCCGCAGUAGCCGUUCAUAGGUCGGUAGGACAUAUCAUCUGGGGUCCGGUGACCAAUUAUGUAACAGACAUGUGUACAGACUUGCCGUUUUACCAGACAUAACAGUCUUGGAAGGGGUUUUUCCUUUUGUAUCAAGUUAUGUCCUAAUCUCCGGUAAUAAAAUAUAGAAAGAACCAG